UACGUAGGUGGCAAGCGUUGUCCGGAUUUAUUGGGUUUAAAGGGUGCGUAGGCGGUGUCCUAAGUCAGUUGUGAAAUACGGCAGCUUAACUGUCGAGGUGCAAUUGAUACUGGGACACUAGAGUCCGGAAGAGGCGAGUGGAAUUCCCGGUGUAGCGGUGAAAUGCGCAGAUAUCGGGAGGAACACCAGUGGCGAAGGCGGCUUCCUGGACCGGUUCUGACACUGAGGAGCGAAAGCGUGGGGAGCGAUCAGG
rnacentral:rRNA from 1 species